GCAUAGGCCCUGUACUCCUCCCAGCUGAGGGGAUUCUCCUGGAGCCUGGCUGCAGGGGCCUGGGCCGGGAGCCGCAGGAGCUGAGCUCUGCCUCUCUCUGAUAGUGCAGCUGGGAGAGGCAGCAGGAUGCCACCCACAGAAUCCCAGAGAGCAGUAUCACACUUGAAUUCUCAUCCAUGCUUCUGUGAUAUCCCUCACUAUUCAUAGUGUCACAAUUUGACAUUUUGAACAGAUGGACUAGUGAUAUGAAACUAUGUGCAAUGAACUGUACCAGCAUUGAGGAAGAGUUUUAUGCAGUUGCUCACUUUAACAUGGAUUUCAAAUUUGCUCACCAACUUUAACCCCCCAACAUUGUAAUUUAAAGAACAGUCAGACUGGACAAGAGCAUCCCUGACCUACAGGCAUCUAACUUCAAAUCCAUUAGUCUCUUUGAGCUUUGGUCAGGGAAUUAUGUAACUCCUCUCAUUCCUUCUUCAUUAAAACAUACCUCCCCCGAACAUGCAGAAGGACUUGGCUAAGGUACUUGUGCCUGUCGCAUGUUUUGCUGUGUUAAU